ACCUACGGGAGGCAGCAGUGAGGAAUAUUGCACAAUGGGGGCAACCCUGAUGCAGUAACGCCGCGUGAGUGAUGAAGCAGUUUAUCUGUGUAAGGCUCUGUUAGGAGGGACGAAUUGUAGGGUUAGUUGCCUUACUUGACGGUACCUCCUGAGGAAGCUCCGGCUAACUCCGUGCCAGCAGCCGCGGUAAUACGGGGGGAGCGAGCGUUGUCCGGAUUUAUUGGGCGUAAAGGGCAUGUAGGUGGUCUUUUAAGUCAGUUGUUAAAACUAUCGGCUUAACCGGUAAUUGCAAUUGAUACUGGAAGACUUGAAUCUGAGAGGGGAUAGUGGAAUAUCAAGUGUAGCGGUGGAAUGCGUAGAUAUUUGAUAGAACACCUGAGGUGAAGACGACUAUCUGGUUCAUGAUUGACACUGAAAUGCGAAAGUAUGGGGAGCAAACAGGAUUAGAUACCCCCGUAC
rnacentral:rRNA from 1 species